ACCGCCGCCUCCGUCAGCCCUUCCCCCGGCGGCCUCCGGGCAUGGAUCGCUCCCGGGGUUGGAAGUUAGGGUGUCCUGAGGCUAGGCUUUCUCUCCCUUCGCGGAUCUCCGCCGCGGAUCUCCGCGAGAGGCUGUGUUCAGUUCCUCUCUGCCUUCUGGACUCAAAAAUAUAAGGCGCACACUGCCACGCAGUCGAUGGCGCUUCUGAAGGCUGCUGAAAACGAUGGGCGUCGAGGUGCUUCUCUUAUUAGAGGCAGGCGAAUCUUCAUGAGUUCCAGGCCACCCACUGCUCCAUAGUAUGACCUUGUCUCAGAAAUAAAAUCCACGAAGCCAGUAACCCAUGUACAAAGUGAAAUCCGUAAGAGAAGUUUCAAGCCUGGGCAGGUUGGUGAUCUUCCAAAAUGCAUAUUCAAGUCCCACUCACUCUGUUACUACAGUGAUGCCGAUCCCAAGGACACUAAGUCCCAUGAAGGGAGUCUGACACAGUGGAGCUGAGUUACCCUAUGACAAGCUGGCAGUGAGGACGCCACAACCUUGCCAAUUUCUAGAAUGCAACAACUCAAGAAGACUGGAUUUUCAGCAAGUCAAUGCAACAAAGAGGCCACUGGUCCUCCCUGACUGUGGAAGUAGUGUGGACAUAUUUAGUUGCUGGUAGAAUUGCCACCUCCGUUUCUUUUGGCCUGUGGCACAAAAGCUGUCAUAGCAGGAAAGAUCAGGUGGAGGGCCCUGAACCUGUUCCUGUCCAUGCCAACCAAAAGCAUACAUUCUCAAAACUAGCCUGCUGCCAGACACAAUGGUACAAGCCUGUCAUGCCAGUUCUCAGGAGGUGGAAGCAGGCAGAUCAGGAAUUCAGGGUCAUCCUUAAUUACGCAGGGAAUCUGAAGCUGAGCUGUGGUGUAGGAAACCCUAUCUCAAAAACAAACAUAGCUAUCUUGAGGGGAUGGCGGAAAUGAUAGAGCAAGGACAGAGCAGCAGAGGCUUCUAUUCACAACACUGACCUAGCACCUGAUUCUGCUGGGCACCCAACCUGCCAGAAAUGUAGUGCAGUUUUCGUCAUUUGCUUUCUAUCCUCCUUUCUGCAAAGAAACCACAGUCUCCAGGAAAAGUUAAAAGAAGCCUGAGCCCUCAUCUUUCCUCAGGCGGUGAUACUGAUCCUGGACCAUCCACAUCUGGAAUUCAGGUUACAUAGAACAAGGAAACCCUCCAUUCUGCUAAGCAUGUCCAUCCAGAUUCAGAGCUGUAGAAAGCCCUGCCAAUACCAGGGGGCGCUAUGACUUGCAAAGACUGAGAGGCUUAAGUAGCCACUAAAGGAAGAACUCGGGAAUGGAAAGAGAGAUGACCGUGAGAAGAGUUAUGGCGGAUUAUAACCUGGAAGAGGGUGCUAUAGAGAGCAGCUUUGCUCUGCUGUGCGCAGUGUGCUGAGUAUUCCUGUAAGGAAUGAUGUAAACAUGUGCCUCAGGCCCCGGCAGCUACCGUCUCAUCAUGACUGCGCUCCUUCCUCAGAGAUGGCUCCUGUUCUUGUUAGCCGCUUAGUCAUGGGUGGAGGCUAUGGGCAGAGGAAGAAAGGAGGCAGCCAGCUCUCUGAUAUGGCAGCUUCUUCUUAGGGGCUCUCGUUGCUCCAAGACGCCACACCCACAGCAUGGCAGUGUUGUCCUGUCUGCUGCCGCUCACAAUGAAGGGAAAAGGGGGAAAAGUACAGGGACUCCAUUGAUCCUCAGUCACAGACCCUGAUGAGCCUGACCCCCUUGAUGGCUCCCACUUCCCUGGAGAAAGACAGGGCUUGGCUGCUCAGGUGUGGCUGCCUUGCCCAGUCUGAAGGGAGAAAGGAUGGAACAGAACGGGUUCUUUCCUGUAGUUCCCAGCAACCUCAGAAGUUUCUCCAAAAGUCUUACAGAGUCUCAAGUGAGAAACUCAAGGCCGCACCAUAGGAGAGACCUCUAGCCUUGUCCUGUGGAGACUCAACUCUGCUAUUUCCCUCAGGGCUCUGAGAACCAAAUCCUCCCCUGCUCUCAGUUUUUCCAGCUGUGCCAUGACACUCACCAGAGUGAGCUGCUCCAUUUACACAAUCUGGGUUGUGUGACAGAAGAGCAAGACGACCAGGUGGCCGCAGGUGCAAGCCAGGGCAGUAGCCCUCUUCGUAGACCGGCACAGGGGCAAGCAGUCCUGUGACCUGUUCACAGAUCACCUAAGAUGUAGAAAGCCACGUGUCCUUGCAUUAGAAGAAACUGGCUUGGGAGGCUGUGGGGGAGGCAAGGAAUAUUUGGGUAACAACAUAUGAAACAUGGCUAUGAAACAGACAGGAUGGGUGGAGUUACGAGCGGGUCCAGCAGAGAGUGAGGGGAAUGCCAGGGAUGGAGCCAUUUUGGGCAGAGCCCUGGAGGUCUGGCUGAAAGACUGGAACUCAUUGCUCCUAGCCUACAUACAAAAGAUGAGUGUUGCCCAGGUGCGAAACCACAGCUCCGGCCUCGCUUGGGUCUCAGAAAAGCAAACAUCUUUAAUCAUCUUCAGGAGUCGGAGAUGCAGGUUUAUCUUUGCAUAACGCAUGCAUCUUUUUGUAAUGUCAAGAUCUUGGUUUCAGCAUCUGCAGUUUACCUAAACAGAAUGGGAGCACGUGGGAAGGAUGUUAGAGGUCACAGCAUGGGCGGAAAGUCUGGGGUGCUCAUCCCAGGAAACAAGCAGGAACCAUCAGAGCUGAGUCAACAGGAAACCCUGCCAGAGUGGUGACUUACAGGAACAUCACCCACAGCCACAGCCACUGCCAGACUAUCCCAUGUCAUCUGCUAUGGACACCCCUAAGGUCUCCCAUGUCCUUGCUCUAGGACCCUCUGUACAUCUUUCUGGCUAUAAGCAUCCCAUGAGCUAAGCCAGGAAUCAGAGGCAGGGGUGUUCAGAUUCCCCCGUCAAGACUCUAAAAUGAAACUCUCACUUAUAGGAAGGGGAUUUAGUGUUGUGUAAUCCCUGGCCUCCCAAAACCACAGGCACCUUUGCAAAAGAUUGAAUCUUCUGUUCUCUUCCAACUUCAUCCAAAAACAUGAUAGGCUUCUGAAGAAUAUGUUUAAAAUUCAGCUCUUUGUUUUAUAUCACACGUGGCAUGGAGCUGUAUAUGACACGGUGAGUUAAGUAUGUGGCCUGCACUCAGAGCAGAUCUGGCUUGAAGCACAGAGCUGCCAUCAGCAAGAUAAUGCGAGCACCUUGAUUGCGUCAUUUCCUAAACUUCUUUCACCCUUAGCGUUUUCUUUGCAAAAUAAGAACAAUGGAGCUGUUGGCAGUAUGGUGCGCACCUGAGGUUCUAACUUCUUAGAGGCCUGAGGCAGGAGAAUGGCUUGAACCCAGAUUCCAGGUCAGCCUGAUCAGCGUAGUGAAGUAGAAAGAAUUAGUAGUGUAAGCCUGACGAUGUUUCACUAGGAAGGCUGAAACAGGAGGAUCACAAGUUCAAGACCAACCUGGGAAGGAAGAAGAAAGUGAAACCAGGCAGGGUGGUAUAUGCCUGUGAUCCCUGCUCUCAGGAGACAAGGUCAGGAAGAUGGGGAGUCCAUGGUCAACCCUGGAUACAUAGUUUAUAUUUUAAGCUCAUUUUCGUUUUAGAUGCAUGGGUGUUCUGCCUACAUGUAUGUCUGUGCACAUAUGUUCAGUAGUACAGAGCCUGUGGAGACCAGAAGAGGCCGUCAGAUCCCUGGGUCUGGAUUUAGAGAUGCCCAUGAGCCACUAGGUGGGUGCUGGGACCUGAACUCAGAUCCUCCGAGGGAGCAGCAAAUUCCCUCUGCCACCUCUUCAGCCCUGCCACACAGCAAGUUUGAUGCCAGCGGGCUUAUUAAGGCCCUGCCUCAAAGGGGUUGGGGUCUCGGCAGGGAGGCGCAGACAGAGGCAAGCAGAUCCCUUUGAGUGUGGAGCCGCCUUGGUCUACAUAGCGAGAGCCUUUAUGAAAGGAAAACUCAAAAGUCACUCUCUCUGCGCCUAACACCAGACCCUCGACCUGCCCACGCCUGAAUGCUGCUGCUGCCACCUGCUGAAGUAUUUGCACACAUGGAAGAGGGCUGCGCUGGGACCCUUCCCCAUCCUAACACAAGCUCCUUGUGACCAGAGGCUGUUCAUUUCAAGGCUCUUUCUACAGCUUCAGGGGAUCUGGUGCCUCGGGCCUCACCUCCCCCGGCACCUGCACUCAGGCGCACACACGAGAGAACACGCAGACACAAUUAGAAAUAAGCUUUUAAGUAAAGAAUAAAAAUGUUUGCCGCAUAGCUGUGCAUGGAGAAUGAAUCAGAUACCUUCUGUACAUUUUGGUUCAUACUAAUAAAUAAACACCAAGUGUGUCUGCGGGUUGCUAGUGAAAAAGGUCCUCCCAGGAGGGUGUGCGUCCUUCUGCAGCAUUGCCACAUGAACGUUUCUCCUUUGGUCAUCUGGCUGAGAUCCUUUUGGCAGCAGGAAGCCAUAUUGUGGGAAAUGCUAACGCUCACGUAACUUAACUCCAGAUCGCUGGAAACUGUCGCUUCUACCCAAAGCAGCUGACCCUCUCCGAGUGUGUUCGCUGACCUGUCCUCCAGGGAUGCCUCUCAGGAGAGGGUGCUAUGGCCAGAAAGUUUGGCAAGUGACUCCACUUCUACAUAAAAUCCUGGCACAUGGAGCUGGAGAAAUGGAUCGACAGUUGAGAGUGCUGGCUGCUCUUCCAGAGGUCCCAAGUUCAAUUCCCAGCAACCACAUGGCAGUUUACAGCUACCUGCAAUGGAAUCCUAUGCCAUCUUCUUCUGGUGUGCGCAUGUACACAUAGGAUUUUUCUCUCUCAUAUACAUAAAAUAAAUAAAUUUCAAACUAACUAACAAAACACUGGCACAGGGCUAGAGAGAUGGCAGGGGAGGGCACGUGUGGUUGAAGGGGAGAAAUAACUCCUGAAGUUACCCUCUGCUAUCCACAUGCACACUGCUGCCUGUGAGAGCCCACAGACAAGUAAGUAACUAUCUUGCUGGGGUUUGUUUUGGUUUUGUUUGUUUGUUUCUGAGACAGGGUUUCUCUCUGUAGCCCUGGCUGUCCUGGACUUGCUUGGUAGACCAGGCUGGCCUGGAACUCACAGAGAUCCAUCUGCCCCUGCCUCCUGAGUACUGGGAUUACAGGCGUGCUUCAUGCCUUUUUUAUAGGUAAAUAUCUUUGUUGGAGUUUGUAUUUCUGUGAUAAAACACUAUGGCCAAGCCAGGAGCAGUGGUGCACGCUUGUAAUCCCUGCACUUGGGGAGGCAGAGGCAGACGGAUCUCUGUGAGUUCCAGACUAGCCUGGUCUACAAAGUGAGUCCAAGGCUACAGAGAGAAACCUGUCUUGAAAAAAAAAUUAAAAACAAACAAACAAAACCCACCAUGACCAGCAGCAAGUUGGGGAGGAAAGGAUUUAUUUCAUUUUACAUCUCGUAGUCCCUCAUCCAGGGAAGUCAAGCCAGUAACUCAGGACAGGAACCUGGAGGCAGGAACCGAAGGAAGGAAACAAGCCAUGGAGCAGUGACGCUUACUGGCUUGCUCCUCGUGUCUUGUUCAACUGUUUUCUCAUAGCACCCCAAACUGCCAGCCGAGGGGUGGCCCUGCCCACAGCAAGCUAGCCCCUUCCCACAUCAAUCACCACUCAGAAAAUGCACACAGGCUUGCGCGCAGGCUUGCACACAGGCCCAAGCUAGUGAGGGCAUUUUCUCUGUUGAGGUUUCUGAUUCCCAAGUGACUCGUCUGUGUCAAGAUGACAUUAAAAAAAAAAAAAAUAGCCAAUACAAUAAGUAAAUGUAACAACAACAACAACAAUAAUAAUAAUAUCACCCUGGUGUGGUGCACAUCUGUUGGGGGCAAGGGGAAGGUUCCCUAUUGCUUACUGGCUAGACAGCUGAAUCAAUGAUCUUCAGGUUCAGUGAGAAACCCUGCUUCAAAGGCUUAGGUAUUCAGCGAUGUUGACCUCUGACCUUCAUUUGCACAAAGCCACAGAAACACCUCCACACAUACACACAAAGGAGAGGGACAGGGAGAGAGAAAAAAAGAUAAGAAAAAGGAAAGAAAAAAAGGUAGACGCUGGAGAAGCAGAAACAAGGACCCAGCCAGGUCCCCAGCAGGAGACCCUAAAAUAAAAAUCUCACCCAGCUGGGCGAGGUGGUGCACACCUGUAACCCUAGCACUAUUCAAGGAAGAAGCAAGUGGAUCUCUGUGCCAGCCUGGUCUACAAAGCGAGUCCAGGACAGCCAACUCUACACAGAGAAACCCUGUCUCGAAAAAACAUAAAAAGAAAAAAAAAAAAAAUCCCAGGCACUUGCAGACUCUGCUGGAGGGGAAAAGUCCUACUCUAACAGCCCCAGGGGAGAAUACCAAAAACUCAGGUGCAGGCCUGUGUAAAGUGAUAAAGAUCUGGGAGGAGGAGCUCAUAGAGCACCUGUAGGAAUCGCUCUCUCUAAGAACCAGAGCUGCCAUAAAGCCAUUGCCCAAAAAUAAAUUUAAAUUUUUUUUUAAAAACCAUGGAUAGCAGAAUAGCAAAUCAACAACAACAACAAAAAAGUGACACAGCAGCUCAAGCCACAGAGAUAAUGUGGCCGCGGCUUGCAUGCCCUAAGGCUUGGGGACU